rnacentral:rRNA from 1 species
UACAGAGGUCUCAAGCGUUGUUCGGAUUCAUUGGGCGUAAAGGGUGCGUAGGCGGCGCGGUAGGUCGGGUGUGAAAUCUCGGAGCUUAACUCCGAAACUGCAUUCGAUACUGCGGUGCUUGAGGACUGGAGAGGAGACUGGAAUUUACGGUGUAGCAGUGAAAUGCGUAGAGAUCGUAAGGAAGACCAGUGGCGAAGGCGGGUCUCUGGACAGUUCCUGACACUGAGGCACGAAGGCCAGGGGAGCAAACGGG